rnacentral:rRNA from 1 species
UACAGAGGGCGCGAGCGUUGUCCGGAUUUAUUGGGCGUAAAGAGCUCGUAGGCGGCUUGUCGCGUCGACUGUGAAAACCCGCGGCUUAACUGCGGGACUGCAGUCGAUACGGGCAGGCUAGAGUUCGGUAGGGGAGACUGGAAUUCCUGGUGUAGCGGUGAAAUGCGCAGAUAUCAGGAGGAACACCGGUGGCGAAGGCGGGUCUCUGGGCCGACACUGACGCUGAGGAGCGAAAGCGUGGGGAGCGAACAGG